UCCGCACAAGUAUCACCGUACUGUCAAGUAGACGCUGAGAGAGGAGCUUGCUCUUCUUGGAUGAGUUGCGAACGGGUGAGUAACGCGUAGGUAACCUGCCUUGUAGCGGGGGAUAACUAUUGGAAACGAUAGCUAAUACCGCAUAACAAUGGAUGACACAUGUCAUUUAUUUGAAAGGGGCAAUUGCUCCACUACAAGAUGGACCUGCGUUGUAUUAGCUAGUAGGUGAGGUAAUGGCUCACCUAGGCGACGAUACAUAGCCGACCUGAGAGGGUGAUCGGCCACACUGGGACUGAGACACGGCCCAGACUCCUACGGGAGGCAGCAGUAGGGAAUCUUCGGCAAUGGGGGCAACCCUGACCGAGCAACGCCGCGUGAGUGAAGAAGGUUUUCGGAUCGUAAAGCUCUGUUGUAAGUCAAGAACGGGUGUGAGAGUGGAAAGUUCACACUGUGACGGUAGCUUACCAGAAAGGGACGGCUAACUACGUGCCAGCAGCCGCGGUAAUACGUAGGUCCCGAGCGUUGUCCGGAUUUAUUGGGCGUAAAGCGAGCGCAGGCGGUUUGAUAAGUCUGAAGUUAAAGGCUGUGGCUCAACCAUAGUUCGCUUUGGAAACUGUCAAACUUGAGUGCAGAAGGGGGAGAGUGGAAAUUCCAUGUGUAGCGGUGAAAUGCGUAGAUAUAUGGAGGAACACCGGUGGCGAAAGCGGCUCUCUGGUCUGUAACUGACGCUGAGGCUCGAAAGCGUGGGGAGCGAACAGGAUUAGAUACCCUGGUAGUCCACGCCGUAAACGAUGAGUGCUAGGUGUUGGAAUCCUUUUCCGGGAUUCAGUGCCGCAGCUAACGCAUUAAGCACUCCGCCUGGGGAGUACGACCGCAAGGUUGAAACUCAAAGGAAUUGACGGGGGCCCGCACAAGCGGUGGAGCAUGUGGUUUAAUUCGAAGCAACGCGAAGAACCUUACCAGGUCUUGACAUCCCGAUGCUAUUUCUAGAGAUAGAAAGUUACUUCGGUACAUCGGUGACAGGUGGUGCAUGGUUGUCGUCAGCUCGUGUCGUGAGAUGUUGGGUUAAGUCCCGCAACGAGCGCAACCCCUAUUGUUAGUUGCCAUCAUUCAGUUGGGCACUCUAGCGAGACUGCCGGUAAUAAACCGGAGGAAGGUGGGGAUGACGUCAAAUCAUCAUGCCCCUUAUGACCUGGGCUACACACGUGCUACAAUGGUUGGUACAACGAGUUGCGAGUCGGUGACGGCGAGCUAAUCUCUUAAAGCCAAUCUCAGUUCGGAUUGUAGGCUGCAACUCGCCUACAUGAAGUCGGAAUCGCUAGUAAUCGCGGAUCAGCACGCCGCGGUGAAUACGUUCCCGGGCCUUGUACACACCGCCCGUCACACCACGAGAGUUUGUAACACCCGAAGUCGGUGAGGUAACCUUUUGGUAGCCAGCCGCCUAAGGUGGGACAGAUGAUGGGGGUAGACGCGAAGACGAAAAUGGC
rnacentral:rRNA from 1 species